rnacentral:rRNA from 1 species
GAUGAACGCUGGCGGCGUGCCUAAUACAUGCAAGUCGAGCGAACAGACGAGGAGCUUGCUCCUCUGACGUUAGCGGCGGACGGGUGAGUAACACGUGGAUAACCUACCUAUAAGACUGGGAUAACUUCGGGAAACCGGAGCUAAUACCGGAUAAUAUUUUGAACCGCAUGGUUCAAUAGUGAAAGACGGUCUUGCUGUCACUUAUAGAUGGAUCCGCGCCGCAUUAGCUAGUUGGUAAGGUAACAGCUUACCAAGGCAACGAUGCGUAGCCGACCUGAGAGGGUGAUCGGCCACACUGGAACUGAGACACGGUCCAGACUCCUACGGGAGGCAGCAGUAGGGAAUCUUCCGCAAUGGGCGAAAGCCUGACGGAGCAACGCCGCGUGAGUGAUGAAGGUCUUCGGAUCGUAAAACUCUGUUAUUAGGGAAGAACAAAUGUGUAAGUAACUGUGCACGUCUUGACGGUACCUAAUCAGAAAGCCACGGCUAACUACGUG